ensembl:lncRNA
GGGGAAACCACAUUGCACAAAGAAGGAGAGUUUGUGUGUGGAGGAUGGAGGGGUGAAAACAGAGAGCCCUUGAUGAAUGGCCUGUGGCUUCAGGUGAUCUUCCCAACCCAGGAAUCAAACCCAGGUCUCCCGCAUUGCAGGCUGAUUCUUUACCAGGUGAGCCACGAUGGAAGCCCAAGAUACUGGAGUGGGUAGCCUACCCCUUCUCCAGCAGAUCUUCCCGACCCAGGAAUUGGACAGGGGUCUCCUGCAUUGCAGGCAGAUUCUUUACCAGCUGAGCAACUAAGAUAAGCUCACAGUUUCAUGGGACAUUUGUGCAGAUGAAAUUGAUCAGCAGGAGGAGGAAAAUAGCCGUCACCUAGGCAACCAGCUGAUGACUCAUCCUGGCAUUGAAGCAGCAAAAGCCUGAGACUGCAAGAGCCGCAGUGUAUUCUUUUGUGGAAGAGCAGCUAUACCUUGGACCUCCCAAGCGAAAUUGUGAAAACGACGUUUAAAGGACUUUCCUGGUGGCUCAACAGUAAAGAAUUGGCCCGCUAAUGCAGGAGAUGCAGGUUUGAUGCCUGGGUCAGGAAGAUCCCCUGGAGAAGGAAACAG